GCUUUCAGGCUAGCGCCUGAGGAUGAGCCUGCGUCUCAUUAGCUAGUUGGUAGGGUAAUGGCCUACCAAGGCGACGAUGGGUAGCCGGCCUGAGAGGGUGAGCGGUCACACUGGGACUGAGAUACGGUCCAGACUCCUACGGGAGGCAGCAGUGAGGAAUAUUGCUCAAUGGCCGAAAGGUUGACGCAGCGACGCCGAGUGAGGGAUGAAGCUUUUAGGAGUGUAAUAGCUCUGUCAGGAGGGAAGAAUAAUGGCGAUUCGAACAGGGUUGUCAGAUGACGGUACCUCCAGAGGAAGCCCCGGCUAACUCCGUGCCAGCAGCCGCGUGUAAUACGGUGGGGGCUAGCGUUGUCCGGAAUUACUGGGCGUAAAGGGCGCGUAGGCGGGAUAGCAAGUCAGUGGUGCAAACUUGAGGCUUAACUUCAAGCUUGCCAUUGAUACUGUUAUUCUUGAGUUCGGCAGAGGGAAGUGGAAUUCCUGGUGUAGCGGUGAAAUGCGUAGAUAUCAUGAUGAAGACCGGUGGCGAAGGCGGCUUCCUGGUCCGAUACUGACGCUGAGGCGCGAAAGCGUGGGGAGCGAACAGGAUUAGAUACCCUGGUAGUCCACGCUGUAAACGAUGGGUACUAGGUGUUGGUCGUAAUGAUCAGCGCCGGAGCAAACGCACUAAGUACCCCGCCUGGGGAAUACGCUCGCAAGACUGAAACUCAAAGGAAUUGACGGGGGCCCGCACAAGCGGUGGAGCAUGUGGUUUAAUUCGAUGCAACGCGAAGAACCUUACCUGGGCUUGAACUGCAGGUGCUAUCUCCUGAAAGGGAGUUUCCUUCGGGACGCCUGUAGAGGUGCUGCAUGGCUGUCGUCAGCUCGCGCUGUGAGGUGUUGGGUUAAGUCCCGCAACGAGCGCAACCCCUGUCCACUAGUUGCCAUCAGGUCAAGCUGGGAACUCUAGGGGGACUGCCCCGGAUAACGGGGAGGAAGGUGGGGAUGACGUCAAGUCAUCAUGGCCCUUACGUCCAGGGCUACACACGUGCUACAAUGGCCGUGUACAACGGGUAGCGAGACAGCGAUGUGGAGCAAAUCCAUUGAAACCGGUCUCAGUUCAGAUUGCAGUCUGCAACCCGAGUGCAUGAAGAUUGGAAUCGCUAGUAAUCGCGGGUCAGCAUGCCGCGGUGAAUACGUUCCCGGGC
rnacentral:rRNA from 1 species